rnacentral:ncRNA from 1 species
AAGGUGGAAGAUCAACGGAUAAAAGCUACUCCGGGGAUAACAGGCUGAUCGGGCCCGAUAGUCCACAUAGACGGCCCGGUUUGGCACCUUAAUAUAUCGGGGUGCACAUACAGCGAUGUAUCUCCAAAAUCUUUUCGUAUAAUUGUUUAAUCGCAAUGAUAGGUAAAAAAUAGAUCACAAAUUCGGCUUAUAACGGAGAACCCGUCAGUGGUCGGUCGCCUUAGGCGACCUUAUCACCCGGCAACCCCGUGGGAAGUCGGUCGCGGCAACGCGGCUUGACCCCGUAACGACUGACCCGAAAGGGAAGACUUGAUCGCUCGGUUGAGCGACAGGUAAUACGCCGACGCUUGUUAUAAAAAACUCAGAUUAUGCGGGUCACGAUUGCCUCUGGCAAUUCCGCUACUAUCGAGAACAAGAUGAAGAUAUAGUCUACCCCAUAUGAAAAUAUGGACCAUGUACGAUGUCGGCUCAUCGCAUCCUGGGGCUGGAGAAAACAAACCUUCUCUCCUUGGCGGAAACGCUAAGGUAAUUAAACGAACCCAAAACGGUGAAAGCCUGCUAAAGUUUAUCAAAACUUUAUCUGCCCAAUGGUAUGAUAAAGAAAAACUAUGCAGGUCAACCCCGUGGGAAAGUAUAAUUUUGAAGAAGUGCAAACUUCGGAUUCUCUUUGAGAACUAAAAAUAAUGCUCCCGUAACGACUGAUUCUUUCUCACCUCGAGAAAGAAGAGAUAGAUGGUAACGAAAGUAACGGAAUUUAAGCCACUAUAAUACGGUUCGCACCUACAAGCAUGUUUGGCGACAAACACUGCUACGGUGAUGGUAUAGUCUGAUACUCCUAGUAAUAGGAGGCAACACAUACAUGAGGUCCCAAGGGUUUGGCUGUUCGCCAAUUAAAGCGGUACGCGAGCUGGGUUCAGAACGUCGUAAAUUUCUUGCGACCAGGAAAUAGUAAUAUUCCUGUAAAAUCGAGCUAAUAUCGGUGGAACCCUCCUCUCUAAAAUAAUAGACCGAAGGAGAGAGGGCAAUACCGAGGGAAGAGAAUUCGUCACUGUGGUUUUAACCAGCGAAGAAAAAGCAUAUAUUGCCGGUUUCCUUGAUGGAGACGGUUGUGUCAUGUUCCAAUUCAUUCGGCGUAAGGAUUACGUGAAUGGCUAUCAGGUGAGAGCGAGUCUUGUUUUUUUUCAGAAAGAAAAACAUCUCACAGAACUCACUUGGUUCAAAGAAAAAUUGGAAAUAGGCAGUAUUCGCCGCCGUAACGACGGCAUGGCUGAAUACGCCAUCGUUGGAAUCAAAGCGGUGUUGUCCAUUUUGGAACAAUUAGCACCGUAUCUGAUAUUUAAAAGACCGCAGGUUGACGUGGCCAGAAAAAUAGCCGCCUUGUUGCCGCGCUACACACGAUUAGAUAAAAAUUUAUUGUUGAAAAUUGGCGAGUUAGUCGAUCAAUUUCAAUACUUAAAUUAUUCUAAACGUCGGCGUAACACCAUGGCAUCAGUCAAGGCAUUUUUCGAGACUCCCCGUAACGACUGAUUUCAGUCCUGAUUUAGAUCGGGAUGAGAAUGAGAUAACCGCAGAUUACAGCAGAGAGUAAUGGUUAUCAUACGCUCGGUCCCUACUGCCGUGAGGCAGGGGAUAAGAUAUAGUCUGUGCCACAUGAAAAUGUGGAUUAAUAAACGGAGACAGUUCGGUCUCCUAUCUGUUGCGGGCGCAGAAUGUUGCGAAGGCUCUUCCCUAGUACGAGAGGACCGGGAAGGACGAACCUCUAGUGUGCGAGUUGUUCCAUCAGGAGCAUUGCUCGGUAGCCACGUUCGGCACGGAUAAACGCUGAAAGCAUCUAAGCGUGAAGCCGUCUUCAAGAUGAACAUUCGUUAUAGACCCCUUAUAGAUGAUGAGGUUGAUAGGCUCUACGUGUAAGCAUAGUAAUAUGUUGAGCGGAGGAGUACUAAUCGGUCGAGCGCAUAACGGA